rnacentral:tRNA from 1 species
GGCUUUAUAUUCAAUAAUGAUUCUAGGCUGCAAUUCUAGAGGUGUAAUUAAACUUACUAAGGCCU